GUGUGAAAAACUCCGGUGGUAUAAGAUGGACCCGCGUUGGAUUAGCUAGUUGGUGAGGUAACGGCCCACCAAGGCGACGAUCCAUAGCCGACCUGAGAGGGUGACCGGCCACAUUGGGACUGAGACACGGCCCAAACUCCUACGGGAGGCAGCAGUGGGGAAUAUUGCACAAUGGGCGAAAGCCUGAUGCAGCGACGCCGCGUGAGCGAAGAAGUAUUUCGGUAUGUAAAGCUCUAUCAGCAGGGAAGAUAAUGACGGUACCUGACUAAGAAGCACCGGCUAAAUACGUGCCAGCAGCCGCGGUAAUACGUAUGGUGCAAGCGUUAUCCGGAUUUACUGGGUGUAAAGGGAGCGCAGGCGGUGCGGCAAGUCUGAUGUGAAAGCCCGGGGCUCAACCCCGGUACUGCAUUGGAAACUGUCGUACUAGAGUGUCGGAGGGGUAAGCGGAAUUCCUAGUGUAGCGGUGAAAUGCGUAGAUAUUAGGAGGAACACCAGUGGCGAAGGCGGCUUACUGGACGAUAACUGACGCUGAGGCUCGAAAGCGUGGGGAGCAAACAGGAUUAGAUACCC
rnacentral:rRNA from 1 species